rnacentral:rRNA from 1 species
UACGUAGGUGGCAAGCGUUGUCCGGAAUUACUGGGUGUAAAGCGUGCGCAGGCGGUUCGCAAAGACAGGUGUGAAAUCCCCGGGCUUAACCUGGGAACUGCGCUUGUAACUAGCGGGCUAGAGUGCGGCAGAGGGGGGUGGAAUUCCACGUGUAGCAGUGAAAUGCGUAGAGAUGUGGAGGAACACCGAUGGCGAAGGCAGCCCCCUGGGCUAGCACUGACGCUCAUGCACAAAAGCGUGGGGAGCAAACAGG